rnacentral:rRNA from 1 species
UUGGCCUCGGUCGGACAAGAUUACCNGCUG